UACGUAGGGUGCAAGCGUUGUCCGGAAUUAUUGGGCGUAAAGGGCUCGUAGGCGGUUUGUCGCGUCGGGAGUGAAAACCUUGGGCUUAACUCAGGGCUUGCUUUCGAUACGGGCAGACUAGAGGUAUGCAGGGGAGAACGGAAUUCCUGGUGUAGCGGUGAAAUGCGCAGAUAUCAGGAGGAACACCGGUGGCGAAAGCGACUCUCUGGACGGCAACUGACGCUGAGGCACGAAAGCGUGGGGAGCAAACAGG
rnacentral:rRNA from 1 species